UUUUGCAGUUAUAUUUUUGUU
rnacentral:piRNA from 1 species